rnacentral:sRNA from 1 species
AAAAAUAUAUUCGAUUAACACUAGACAUAAACGAGACAGUCGCAGGAAUUGAAGGUGGAGAUGAUGAUGAUGACAAUCAUGAGCCUAUAUUUAAUGGUGUUGGUGUUGAAAAGUCACAAGAUGUGGAAACUGUAACUCUUGCGCCAUGUCAAAGGAUCAAUAUCGAGGUGGUUGAGAAUAUUCCAUCAAGUGCAUUGGUUAAGGAGUACGAGUAUACCAUUGGGGAAUGCAUAUAUGAAGUGUUUAAACGCCAUGGAAGAGGUUGAGAAAGGUAGUGAUCUUUAUAUGUUUGCGCUGGAUUUGUUUAUGAACAAAGAGUGCAAAGAGAUGUUAUUGUUGUUGGAGAACUCAAGUUUGAGAAUGUCUUGGAUGCUUAGACGUCUACCAUUGCUGCCUAAGAUCCUUUUAUUCUCCUAAACUUCUGCUUAUGUCUUAUAAUUAUGCUUAAAACUAUUCAUUUUUCUUUUGAAGAAAACA